GCCUAUACAUGCAAGUCGAACGCUUUGUGGUUCAACUGAUUUGAAGAGCUUGCUCAGAUAUGACGAUGGACAUUGCAAAGAGUGGCGAACGGGUGAGUAACACGUGGGAAACCUACCUCUUAGCAGGGGAUAACAUUUGGAAACAGAUGCUAAUACCGUAUAACAAUGACAACCGCAUGGUUGUUAUUUAAAAGAUGGUUCUGCUAUCACUAAGAGAUGGUCCCGCGGUGCAUUAGCUAGUUGGUAAGGUAAUGGCUUACCAAGGCGAUGAUGCAUAGCCGAGUUGAGAGACUGAUCGGCCACAAUGGGACUGAGACACGGCCCAUACUCCUACGGGAGGCAGCAGUAGGGAAUCUUCCACAAUGGGCGAAAGCCUGAUGGAGCAACGCCGCGUGUGUGAUGAAGGGUUUCGGCUCGUAAAACACUGUUGUAAGAGAAGAAUGACAUUGAGAGUAACUGUUCAAUGUGUGACGGUAUCUUACCAGAAAGGAACGGCUAAAUACGUGCCAGCAGCCGCGGUAAUACGUAUGUUCCAAGCGUUAUCCGGAUUUAUUGGGCGUAAAGCGAGCGCAGACGGUUAUUUAAGUCUGAAGUGAAAGCCCUCAGCUCAACUGAGGAAUUGCUUUGGAAACUGGAUGACUUGAGUGCAGUAGAGGAAAGUGGAACUCCAUGUGUAGCGGUGAAAUGCGUAGAUAUAUGGAAGAACACCAGUGGCGAAGGCGGCUUUCUGGACUGUAACUGACGUUGAGGCUCGAAAGUGUGGGUAGCAAACAGGAUUAGAUACCCUGGUAGUCCACACCGUAAACGAUGAGUGCUAGGUGUUUGAGGGUUUCCGCCCUUAAGUGCCGCAGCUAACGCAUUAAGCACUCCGCCUGGGGAGUACGACCGCAAGGUUGAAACUCAAAGGAAUUGACGGGGACCCGCACAAGCGGUGGAGCAUGUGGUUUAAUUCGAAGCAACGCGAAGAACCUUACCAGUCUUGACAUCCCUUGACACUCCAGAGAUGGAGCGUUCCCUUCGGGGACAAGGUGACAGGUGGUGCAUGGUUGUCGUCAGCUCGUGUCGUGAGAUGUUGGGUUAAGUCCCGCAACGAGCGCAACCCUUAUUACUAGUUGCCAGCAUUCAGUUGGGCACUCUAGUGAGACUGCCGGUGACAAACCGGAGGAAGGUGGGGAUGACGUCAAAUCAUCAUGCCCCUUAUGACCUGGGCUACACACGUGCUACAAUGGCGUAUACAACGAGUUGCCAACCCGCGAGGGUGAGCUAAUCUCUUAAAGUACGUCUCAGUUCGGAUUGUAGGCUGCAACUCGCCUACAUGAAGUCGGAAUCGCUAGUAAUCGCGGAUCAGCACGCCGCGGUGAAUACGUUCCCGGGUCUUGUACACACCGCCCGUCACACCAUGAGAGUUUGUAACACCCAAAGCCGGUGGGGUAACCUUCGGGAGCCAGCCGUCUAA
rnacentral:rRNA from 1 species